AGAGUUUGAUCAUGGCUCAGAACGUACGCUGGCGGCACGCCUUAUACAUGCAAGUCGAACGAAGUAGCAAUACUUAGUGGCAGACGGGUGAGUAACAUGUGGGUAUCUUCCCUUUGGUGAGGAAUAACACGAGGAAACUUGUGCUAAUACCUCAUAAGUCUUUACGGAGAAAGCUUUAUGCGCCAAUGGAUGAGCCCGCACUUGAUUAGUUUGUUGGUGGGGUAAUAGCCUACCAAGACUGUGAUCAAUAGCUGAUUUGAGAGGAUGAUCAGCCACAUUGGGACUGAGACACGGCCCAAACUCCUACGGGAGGCAGCAGUAGGGAAUCUUGCACAAUGGAGGAAACUCUGAUGCAGCGAUGCCGCGUGAGUGAAGAAGGCCUUUGGGUUGUAAAGCUCUUUCGUCGGGGAAGAAAAUGACUGUACCCGAAUAAGAAGGUCCGGCUAACUUCGUGCCAGCAGCCGCGGUAAUACGAAGGGACCUAGCGUAGUUCGGAAUUACUGGGCUUAAAGAGUUCGUAGGUGGUUAAAAAAGUUGGUGGUGAAAUCCCAGAGCUUAACUCUGGAACUGCCAUCAAAACUUUUUAGCUAGAGUAUGAUAGAGGAAAGCAGAAUUUCUAGUGUAGAGGUGAAAUUCGUAGAUAUUAGAAAGAAUACCAAUUGCGAAGGCAGCUUUCUGGAUCAUUACUGACACUGAGGAACGAAAGCAUGGGUAGCGAAGAGGAUUAGAUACCCUCGUAGUCCAUGCCGUAAACGAUGUGUGCUAGACGUUGGAAAUUUAUUUUCAGUGUCGCAGCGAAAGCGUUAAGCACACCGCCUGGGGAGUACGACCGCAAGGUUAAAACUCAAAUGAAUUGACGGGGACCCGCACAAGCAGUGGAGCAUGUGGUUUAAUUCGAAGAUACGCGCAGAACCUUACCAACACUUGACAUGUUCGUCGCGACUUUAAGAGAUUAAAGUCUUCGGUUCGGCCGGACGAAACACAGGUGCUGCAUGGCUGUCGUCAGCUCGUGUCGUGAGAUGUUGGGUUAAGUCCCGCAACGAGCGCAACCCUUACUUUUAGUUGCCACCAUUUAGUUGAGCACUCUGAAAGAACUGCCAGUGAUAAGCUGGAGGAAGGUGGGGAUGACGUCAAGUCCUCAUGGCCCUUACGUGUUGGGCUACACACGUGCUACAAUGGCACUCACAAUAGGAAGCAAAGAGGCGACUCUAAGCAAAUCCUAAAAAAGUGCCUCAGUUCGGAUUGUACUCUGCAACUCGAGUACAUGAAGCUGGAAUUGCUAGUAAUCGCGGAUCAGCGCGCCGCGGUGAAUACGUUCCCGGGUCUUGUACACACCGCCCGUCACACCAUGGAAGUUGGUUCUACCUUAAGGCAAAGCAUAAAACCUUUGACCACGGUAUAGUCAGCGACUGGGGUGAAGUCGUAACAAGGUAGCC
rnacentral:rRNA from 1 species